UACGUAGGGACCUAGCGUUGUCCGGAAUCAUUGGGCGUAAAGCGCGCGUAGGCGGCCCGGUAAGUCCGUUGUAAAAGUCGAAGGCUCAACCUUCGAAAGCCGAUGGAUACUGCCGGGCUAGAGUACGGAAGAGGCGAGUAGAAUUCCUGGUGUAGCGGUGGAAUGCGCAGAUAUCAGGAGGAACACCGAUGGCGAAGGCAGAUCUCUGGGCCGUAACUGACGCUGAGGAGCGAAAGCGUGGGGAGCGAACAGG
rnacentral:rRNA from 1 species